CAGUAGCCGCGGGAAUACGUAGGGUGCAAGCGUUAAUCGGAAUUACUGGGCGUAAAGCGUGCGCAGGCGGUUCGUUAAGACAGAUGUGAAAUCCCCGGGCUUAACCUGGGAACUGCAUUUGUGACUGGCGGGCUAGAGUAUGGCAGAGGGGGGUAGAAUUCCACGUGUAGCAGUGAAAUGCGUAGAGAUGUGGAGGAAUACCGAUGGCGAAGGCAGCCCCCUGGACCAAUACUGACGCUCAUGCACGAAAGCGUGGGGAGCAAACAGGAUUAGAUACCCCGGUAGUCCCUGUCUCUUAUAC
rnacentral:rRNA from 1 species